CAGUCGUGAGGAAGGUAGUGUAGUUAAUAGCUGCAUUAUUGUACGUUAGCGACAGAAGAAGCACCGGCUAACUCCGUGCCAGCAGCCGCGGUAAUACGGAGGGGUGCGAGCGUUAAUCGGAAUUACUGGGCGUAAAGCGCAUGCAGGUGGUUUGGUUUAUGUCAGAUGUGAAAGACCCGGGGCGUCAACCUCGGAAUUGCAUUUGAAACUAGGCAGACUAGAGUACUGUAGAGGGGGGGUAGGAAUUUCAGGUGUAGCGGUGAAAUGCGUAGAGAUCUGAAGGAAUACCGGUGGCGAAGGCGGCCCCCUGGACAGAUACUGACACUCAGAUGCGAAAGCGUGGGGAGCAAACAGGAUUAGAUACCCUGGUAG
rnacentral:rRNA from 1 species